AACGAACGCUGGCGGCAUGCCUAACACAUGCAAGUCGAACGAGACCUUCGGGUCUAGUGGCGCACGGGUGCGUAACGCGUGGGAACCUGCCCUUAGGUUCGGAAGAACUCCCCGAAAGGGGUGCUAAUACCGGAUAAUGUCUUCGGUCCAAAGAUUUAUCGCCUUUGGAUGGGCCCGAGUUGUAUUACCUAGUUGUUAGGGUAAAAGCCUACCAAGGCGACGAUCCAUAGCUGGUCUGAGAGGAUGAUCAGCCACACUGGGACUGAGAAACGGUCCAGACUACUACGGGAGGCAGCAGUGGGGAAUACUGGAAAAUGGGCGAAAGCCUGAUGCAGCAAUGACGCGUGAGUGAUGAAGGCCUUAGGGUUGUAAAGCUCUUUUACACGGGAUGAUAAUGACAGUACCGGGAGAAUAAGCACCGGCUAACUUCGUG
rnacentral:rRNA from 1 species